rnacentral:tRNA from 1 species
GCCGCCCGUAGCAGCCGCAGGGGCGGGUCCUGCCGCUCCGGACGGCAGUUGAUCUCCACCGCCGUUCCGGCCUCGGCGCAGGCGGCG